GUGUACAGCAAGUGCAGCUGCAGGAGAGUAUAAUCAAUUCUCCCCAUGGAAAUAAGGGUGCGCUCGCAUGUGGGAUAAGGAGAGAUGGUGCCAGCUGGGAUGGGUGCAGCUCUAGCACAGGGAGACAGGCAGAACAAGGGGCUUGGAGCAAACCUCUGAAUCACAAAGAUGUCACCCAGGAGCUGCGUGGCACCAGUCUCUGCUCAGCGCUGUUUGUUCCCCACAAAGUCCCAUCCUCACUGCACCCUUCUUCUGAGGAAAGAAAAGUGUGGAGAGGAGAGUGCUCUCCACUCAGAGGGACACUGACAAGCAAGCCAAAGGAGGGAUGAGCAGGACCAUGUCAGAAACAACGUCAGGCCAAAACCAGCCCAAGCCCCACACUGCUUGUGAAUUCACCCUGGAUAACACAGGAUGAUGCUUUGCUCCUGCAUCCACAACCAGGAGCGCAGAGGGGCUCCUUGGCCAGGACCUGUAUAAAAGCACCCAGGACCCCCGACAGCUGCCUGGGCAAUGUGGGGACCCUCAAGAUACCCUCCCCAGAACAAGCAGGAGGCAGAGGAAGGAAGGCUCAGGAAAGAGGCUGCAGUGGCUGGAGAGCAGGUAUCUGAAGGAGAGGAGGAGCAUCGUUCUGCAGUGCAUCCUCGGCAAGUUCCUUCAUGAGAGCUGCUCCC